rnacentral:lncRNA from 1 species
ACCCUCCAAACAUCCAAAAAAGCUUCCACCAUCCAUCACACACUAGUCCUCCUCUUCUAUCUCCAACCUUCCAAACAAUCCAUCUGUUCAAUCCCAGGAUGUCAGCACGCAAGAGUUUCAUGGAAGGCUAGACUCCUUCAACUCGGAAAGACGAUGAAGCCUGCAACACAGAUUUAUUUUCUUUAUCUUGUAUUUAUUUUCCAUGCA